AUACAUCCACACAACAAAUAAAUGCUAAAACUUUUUACAUUAGAAGGGAGGGAGAGAGGGAGAAGGAAGGAACUUGUGGGAGGGGCAUGAGGCAUCGAUUUCUUUUCUGUACUGACUGUUAUGUUCCUGAAGCCUCCAGACCAUCCACUUCUCGAGUCCUGGAAGCAUCUUCUCCCACCCAGCAUCUGUCACAGCAGCUGCAUCUGGGGCACGUGUUUCUGAAAGGUCGCUGGAGUACACAGCCCCGACCUGGCUGUGCAGUACACGUGCCAGGUCCACGAUCUCUGGUUCUGAGGCAGUGAAAAGAAGGCCCAAACAGUAACCGGCUGAGACCCAGGAGAGAAACUGGGGACAAUCAAGUUGCUGGAAAGGGGGUGCUGGUGUCCCCAAAGUCCACAUCUCCCAACCCUGAUACUGACUGGCAGACUCCAAGUGAAAAGAUAUAGGACUGUGCAGACCCAGCCUGGCACCUUUUGGGUAGGCCACAGAGCAAAUGGAUCCCACAGACAAUAAACCCAGAAUUUUGUGAUGA